AUCACUUGGGGACCUUGUUAAAAUGCAGGUUCUAAUUCUUUAGGGUGGGAGUAAGGCCUGAGAUUCUGCAUUUAUAACAAGCUCCCAGGUGAUGUCAA
rfam:Mustela putorius furo unplaced genomic scaffold scaffold00051, whole genome shotgun sequence.